UGCACAGACACAGCACAAGAACAGAGCUGCGUGGCAGGAAUCCUUGGGGCUGCUUCUUCAGUGUCUCACACAUUGCCUGGGAAACUGCAGUUAAAAGUGCUUUCCUGCCACAUCUUGUAAGCAAAAGGGUCAAGAACUGAAUUGCAGUCUCUGAGCAAAGACAUGGCAAGUAUGGGGCUAAUGAGGUACUAGAAGCAAGAAGCUAAAUUGGAUUUGGAAGUAAAAACCUUGUUUAGAAAGAUGAUGGAAAACCAGUACUUCUGCUCCUUAGGAAGAGGUACUUUGCCAGGGGGACUGUUAAAGGUUAAAGAAAGGGAAGUAAGGAAAUAUAAAUGA
rnacentral:lncRNA from 14 species